UACGUAGGGACCAAGCGUUGUUCGGAUUUACUGGGCGUAAAGGGCGCGUAGGCGGCGCGGUAAGUCACUUGUGUAAUCUCUGAGCUUAACUCAGAACGGCCAAGUGAUACUGCAGUGCUAGAGUGCAGAAAGGGCAAUCGGAAUUCUUGGUGUAGCGGUGAAAUGCGUAGAUAUCAAGAGGAACACCUGAGGCGAAGGCGGGUUGCUAGGCUGACACUGACGCUGAGUGCGCGAAAGCCAGGGGAGCAAACGGG
rnacentral:rRNA from 1 species